GUGAAGACUCACUCGCUGUUAUUUUCAUUUUUUAGCUCUUAUGAGGUAUUGUCUAUUAAUAAAGCGAAGACAUUACAAAUGGUGAUGCAUUAAAACUUUAUUAAAAGAAAAGUCAAGUAAUUUAUUUAUAACAUAUUAUACUGAAACUGAAAAUUCCUUCAAGCCUCAAGAAGCCCGAACUCAGCUGAGCAGACUCGGACACGGGGAGGAUUCCAAGUCUUUUUGUCACAUUUCCGGAUCUCAGAGGGUGAAGGUACUACAUGAAGGAGUAUGAGGACAUGGAGGAGUUUUGGAAAACAAACAGUAUGAUUUUACAGUACAAGAGGGGAAAUUUUAGCUUCAGGAGCUGACAAGGCCAAAAUAACAAACAGAAAACAACUAAUAUUCAAACCUCUAAAUUCCCUAGUUCAC
ensembl:lncRNA